GGGUGAUCUGGCUUCAACAUCUACCACCCAUUGAUCACCAGGGUUGAUUCAGCUGAUGUCUGGCUAUACAGGUGUCCCUUUCCUCCAGUGUUCCAUGCGUAACCCUCCUGAAGUUGAAAACUUGGUUGGAGAGGAUGACCUUCCCUGAUAGAAGAGGACCAUUCUUUAAUCAAGGGUGUUCAAGUAGCUCUCUAAGCUCUCAAGGUAAAGGUCUCACCUGCACUGUCAGUCUUAUAGUCAAUCAUAAUGUAUCAACACAUAAAGAAACUAAUAGCUAUAAAAAUUGUUGAAGAGGCUGACAUUU
rnacentral:lncRNA from 10 species